rnacentral:lncRNA from 1 species
UUGGAUUGGUAGGAUUACAAUAGACCAGUAAUGUAGCAAAUAAACGCCUUAGGCUGUAUGACAUCUGAUAACUUGCUGCUUCAGACAUGCAUUCUAUCAAACUAUUAUCAUAAUGUAACAAUCCUCUUUUCUCCACGGACUCUCUAAAAAUACUACAAAGUUCUCCGUUUACUGUCAAAAGAUCGUUAUAUGAUUUCGGUCCGCGCACAUGCAAUAGUAGUAAUCUGAGAUAAUACCGUUCACCUUCUGUUGGAUGACACGUUACGAUUCGACCAAUUGCAGAGCGUUGUUUUCGAAGUGCCCAGAAUUUGUCACUCGAGGACCACACAAAGUAUUCAGAGAAUUCCUUGUAUAGUAAAUUCAGCUCAAUAGCUUCUUCAUCGGUUUGGUUCAUAGAGAAGAAUUCUGUUAACAUCGUUUUUUUUAUCAUAGGAUUGUUCACGAUCGUAUUUAUAUCAACAUUGCUCUUAAAGGAAACAAAUUGUUAGCCUUUAUAAUCAGUUUUAUGACACUAACUAUUAAAUCCAACUAUGAAUCUACAGUUAUCGCUUCAUAAAGGUAAAAUCAUUCCAACACUUUUAAAAGCAUAAACAGAUACAUCAACAUGACUGAACCCACCAAAUGAUUCAAGAACAACAUCAUCAACAACUUCAAAUAUCCCAGGAUUUUCUGGACGGAUGAGAAAGAAUGAUGCACGAAUAAUUUAAUCAGCUUAAACAAUUUAUAUGCAGCAGCUAUUCCAAAAAUCAAGAAAACAAGAAAGUAAAACUCACCUUAUACUGCAUAAUCAAGGCGAAUUAACUGUCCGGGAAGAGAGAAGACUAAAAGAAACAAGGGAAAUUGUAAGAAGAGGUGAGCGGCGGCGGAAAUUUUGAGGAAGAAACCAAGCGUAAAGACUGGGCAA